rnacentral:rRNA from 1 species
AUCUGGAGGAAUACCAAUGGCGAAAGCAGCCUCCUGGGGUGGCUCUGACACUGAGGGACGAAAGCGUGGGUAGCAAACCGGAUUAGAUACCCGGGUAGUCCACGCUGUAAACGAUGAACACUAGGGGUAGGGGGUAUCGACCCCCUCUGUCCCGAAGCUAACGCGAUAAGUGUUCCGCCUGGGGACUACGGCCGCAAGGCUAAAACUCAAAGGAAUUGACGGGGGCCCGCACAAGCAGCGGAGCGUGUGGUUUAAUUCGAUGGUACGCGAAGAACCUCACCCAGGUUUGACAUGCAUGUGGUACCGAUGUGAAAGCUGAGGGACCCUUCGGGGAGCAUGCACAGGUGUUGCACGGCCGUCGUCAGCUCGUGCCGUGAGGUGUUGGGUUAAGUCCCGCAACGAGCGCAACCCUCAUCGUUAGUUACUAUGUCUAGCGAGACUGCCUCUAAAAAAGAGGAGGAAGGUGGGGAUGACGUCAAGUCAGCAUGGCUCUUACGCCUUGGGCUACACACACGCUACAAUGGCCAGUACAAAGGGCUGCAAAGGAGCGAUCCGGAGCUAAUCCCAUAAAGCUGGCCCCAGUUGGAAUUGCAGGCUGCAACUCGCCUGCAUGAACGCGGAGUUGCUAGUAACCGUAGGUCAGCACUACUGCGGUGAAUACGUUCCCGGGUCUUGUACACACCGCCCGUCACGUCAUGGGAGUUGGUAAUACCUAAAGUCAUUGAGCCAACCUUCGGGAGGCAGAUGCCUA